UUAAAUUUAGUUUAAAAAAAAUAUAAGUUUGUCAAGCUUAUGAUACAGUUAGUAAUUUAAA
rnacentral:tRNA from 1 species